rnacentral:rRNA from 1 species
GCAACAGCUCAAAUUUGAAAGCUGGCCUUCGGGUCCGCAUUGUAAUUUGUAGAGGAUGCUUUGGGUAAAACGCCAGUCUAAGUUCCUUGGAACAGGACGUCAUAGAGGGUGAGAAUCCCGUAUGUGACUGGAAAUGUUAACCUAUGUAAAGCUCCUUCGACGAGUCGAGUUGUUUGGGAAUGCAGCUCUAAAUGGGAGGUAAAUUUCUUCUAAAGCUAAAUAUUGGCGAGAGACCGAUAGCGCACAAGUAGAGUGAUCGAAAGAUGAAAAGCACUUUGGAAAGAGAGUUAAAAAGCACGUGAAAUUGUUGAAAGGGAAGCGCUUGCAAUCAGACUUGUUUAAACUGUUCGGCCGGUCUUCUGACCGGUUUACUCAGUUUGGACAGGCCAGCAUCAGUUUCGGCGGCCGGAUAAAGGCUCUGGGAAUGUGGCCUCCACUUCGGUGGAGGUGUUAUAGCCCAGUGUGUAAUACGGCCAGCCGGGACUGAGGUCCGCGCUUCGGCUAGGAUGCUGGCGUAAUGGUUGUAAGCGACCCGUCUU